GCAAUGUACCUUUGAACCAGAAUAUCCUCACUUCCAAAUCCCCCCACUGUCAGGCUUUACUGGGGUUGAUAGCUGUGGGUGCCAAGACAGAUCGAGCAUUGUCCUGAAUCCCACCUUACAGCCACGCUGCUCUGCACCACAGAGCAAGCAGAGGAGCAAAAUAAGAGGCAACCAGGCUGCAGAGCUGCAGCACGAGGAACAGAUUUGUGCUUGGGAUCUCUCCCCGUAGGAAAGAGUGAUCAUAAAAGGCAGAGGCAAGGAAGAAGGGAAAGGCUGGAAGAGCUGGAGAGGAACAGGAAGGGAAGGUUUCACGUGCUGGCUCGGGCUGUAGGAGCCAAAAGCAUUCAAGGCAGAGGCUCGGGGCAGGGGGAGGGCACUCAAGGACACUGCAGCAGAACUUGCAGGCGCUCGGAGCUCGCGCUGAACUUUGUGUUCCCGGCUGCCUGUUUUGGAGCGUGCUCAGGGGAUGCCUCCCCUUGGGAGCUCGCCUGCUGGAAGGAGGACACGCCGCCGCAGCUCCGUGGGGCUGGUGGCGUGGUGACGGCGGCGCAUAGGCAUGCUGUGAUGCAGCAGCUUUAUAGGGCGCUAGAAAAUCAUGCCAGGGUAAAGGGAUGGCACCCACAGGUUUUACAGCUCCGGGGACCCUUCGUGGCCCACAACGGUAGCCACUCGGCACGUGUGGAAUUCAGCUGGUUCCUUUCGGGGAGGGUUGGAGCAGCUUCCUCAGGUCGGUUCCAUGUGUUGCUCAAUCCUCCCCCCCUUCUUCAAGCCCCCUUCAGCUGGGAUUUGAAUCUGCUCCGCACACAACAAAGCUCAGCCAGAAAGGAAGCCUCGCAUGGUUUGCCCAAAACUGUUAAGGGAGCCCAGAGGUCAUUACAAAACUUAGUAAAUAUUAACAGACCGUCUUCUUAAGACAGCUUGUAAGGCCUGGAAAGUUUCGUAUUCUCCAAGACACGAGACGAAGGGCCGUGUUUGGUAAGCCAACCCUGGGAUGCAGCCGGGGCUCCUGGUAAGCUGGAGCUGCAUCGUGCACCCAUCAGCACAGCCUGCAGGGAGCUGCCCAGGUUACCCUGUACUCCUGCAGACCUCCCGGAGCCACUGAAUCGGGGCAGCAAUUUGGGACAGCCUCAGAAAUUCACGCUGGAGGUCUGUAAGAUCCAGCCGUGCACCACGAUCCAGCCAAACGCCGUGUGAAGGUAAAUCCAGCCUCAGCACUUCGCUGCAACUCCUUUCCUCUGUGCCAAGGGCCAGCCCUCCCCGCAGGAGUCCCUUGCUGUAGCACUCGCUGUUCUCCCGUCCCAGGAAGGAGCCAAAAGCUGACAGGUCGUUGCUUGGGAAAGGGCACGGGGCACCUGCUGCAGCACACAGGAGCCAGCAGCGAGGAUGGCGAGGAGCAGGGUGACACUUCUGCACUGCUCACCACUCUGUUCAAGGCAAACUGGCGGCACCUUCACCCACGUGGAGGACAGACAUGGAUAUUAGGUCUCAAAGCACGAUGGCUGUUUGCAGUGUAAAUGGCAGAGUGUGUGUGUAUCCUCCAUCCCACAGGAUACAAGUGCUAGUUUGCCUCGAGUAAGGAGGCAAGCAUAUUUUGGUGCAAUCCCACACCAAAUCUUGUUCUUUUCAUCUCACAAAACUGUGCUAAAAUGACCAAUCUGCUUUUAAUAAAUGCCAUUGAGAAGCUGCAGCUUGAGGAGGAUUUUGAGAGCACCGCACUGAGAUAAGCAACCUGUACUGAACCCUAACCAGAGCACCUCAUGGGCACACUCAUGGCAAUAAUUAUAUAAGAAGUAGUUUAAUUGAGAUGAAGUUCCUGUAUCGUUUGUGCUCCACUGACAAAAUACAAGGCAAGGAAACAGAGGAGCUUCAUAAUUGUCUCCCGUACACACACGGCUGCUGCUGCUCACUUCUUAAAUAACACAACCCAAGCCUCCCGUCUGUGUUCCCUGUUCCCAAUCCCUCCGUUAACUCCUCUACACAAGGAAUGUGGGGUUGGACACCAGCGCGUGGGGACAAGCCAGCACUCCUUCCCCUGCUCCCUGCUCGCUGGAACCCCUUGGAAGGCUCCUACUGAAAUCUGCUCCUGCCAUGAGACCAAUACUGCGGCUCAGGAAGGCGAAGCUGCACAGACUGCUUUGUUUUUGUAGGGUUGCUAGGAAGCACUGGUUCACAUUACCGAUUUUUUUUAAGGUCUCUAAACUACACAUCAAAACAAGUUAUUCCGCAUGUACCAGAAGCAAUGAAGCCUGGCUUCCACCAGCUUUGGGUCCUGUGUCCAUAAACAUAUUUCUUUUUUUUUUUUUCCCCAGAGCAAUGUCCCCUCCAUCUCCCGAAAGCCAGGAUCUCUGCUUGGCAGCACAAGAGGGAGCAGAGGCUGUAGCUGGGGCACAACUAGGAACUGGUUUAUUGGCUGGCCGGGAGCUACAAACAGUGGCUGAUUGCUAAAUUCUGCCUGUCUUGCUCUCGCUGGGGGACUAAUUUUGGACUUUCUCUGCUAUCUAGUCAUCGGUUUUCAUAAAAUUUGUAGAAACUUUGUGAUUUGAUGAGCCUAGCUGAAAUCUGGCCGAGAUUUUUUGGAGGGUAGAAUAGAGCAGUGGACAGGCAGACAGGCAGGCUGCACAGGCUGGAAAUCGGGCUGGAAGUGCACUCAGCAAGGAACUACCUCAAGUUUGUAAUAAUAAUAAUAAUAAUAAUAAAAGGAAAAAAAAAAAAAAAAAAGCACUUCUCAUUAAGUCCCAGAUACUCGGUCAACCUUUGUAGCUGUGCCUGAUAAUGGUUCUUCUGACACAUUUAACGAACACACCUAGGACCUGGCAAGCAUGACUGGCAGAGCGCUGCUGCCAUGAAUAUUCACAUCAGGGUGUUGCAAUUUAAAUGACACAGAUGCCACUAAAAUGCCAAGGUCCAGAGUGUGAAAGCAAACAGAGCAGCUCUGGGAAACCCAAGCCAUGCAGCCGGCCGCUCGCUAGUGGCAGCGUUGCACCUCCUCCACACGGCAGCAGAGCGAGUGCCUUCCCUUUCUCGAGUUUUCCCUUUAAAAGGACCUUUUGGGGAGAUUUUCUCCUGGUUGCUAACGGGCGUUCAGCAGCGCUAGCAACACAGGGAGCGUGGGUGUGGAGCACCUGGAGAGGCGCCGGGAGGUACGCGAGCGCUCGCAGCACGUGCGUGCCGAGUGUCUGUGGGCAAGGGGCGGCACACGUGGAUGCACAGCCAUGGGCACGGGCAUCGAGCCCAGGGCACCUGAUCUUCUUCCUGAGUCACUUUGGCUUAAGAGCAUGGGGCUGAAGGUGAAACCAGGCGUCCUGAAGGAAGAAGGUCUGUAUCAACACACGUCAUGGCCACAGGAUGGCUGAGGCUGGAGGGUACCCCUGGAGGCCACCCAGUGCAGCUGCCCAGGACCAUAUCCAGCUUGCUCUUGAACGUCUCCAAGGAUGGAGACUCCAAAACCUCUCUGGAUAGCCUGUGCCAGUGCUCCAUCACUGCUCACAGCAAAAAAAAAAGUGUUUUUUUUUUAUGUUCAGACCUCCCCCAUUUUGUUUGUGCCCAUCGCCUCCUGUCCUGUCACUGGGCACCAUCGAGAAGAGCCGGGCUCCAUCCUCCCUGCAGCCUCACUUCAGGAAUUUGUACACAUGGAUGAGAUUCCCCUGAGCCUUCUCUCCAGGCUGAACAGUCCCAGCUCUCAGCCUCUCCUCACCUGAGAGAUGCUCCAGUCCCUUAAACAUGUCAGUGGCCCUUCACUGGUCUCUGCAGCACCUCCACCUCUCUCUCUUGCCCUGGGGAGCCCAGAAGUGGAUGCAGCACUGCAGAUGUGCCCGCAGGCAUAAAUCCAGACUAUCUAAGGCACUGUUGAGGGUAUUUGGUUGUGUGGAUACCUCCUUGCUAAACACGGAGACCUCCUUCUCAUCACCUUCCUGCUCUGACGUGACUCUAGGAUGAACAAUGUCUAAGAAUGAGGCAUUUGGAGAUGGGAAAAAGGGUACGAGGACAUGUAACAGCAGGACCAUGCAGUGCCCUACAGAGCAUGACCAUGCACCAUCCCCAGGCUCUCAAGACAGGGCUGAAGCAAGCAAGGACACAGCAGCAGCUAUAGAUCAAUACCUCAAAGAUGUCCUUAAACAUUAUUUAUCACCAACAGCUAGACGGGUUUCAUCUCGUGUGAACUGCUCACUCCCCAAAGUCCCACCACAUUCAGCAAGACUCUACUUAUAUUGAAAAAGUUUUUUUAUGAGACUUUUCUCUCAAAUAAUUGAUAAGUUCUUGCUGCCUCCCCUCUUUGAUCGGCCUCAGCCCCGGUUGUGCCCAAGGUCUGGUCUUGUUCCAGCCCAUCUCAUUAUCUGAAGCACCAGAAGCAGGUGGUGUUUACAGGACUCGUAGAAGAAACUGGAUUUCUGUGCAAAGAAUACAAAUCUGAAGGCCAUGGUGGGAAGCAAAAUUCAUCCAGAACAAACACUGCUCAGCCCUGUUUGUUUAUGGAUCUCUUUGUUUUCUUAGUCCUACUCCACAGCUUUUUCCUUCUUCUUCCCCAUCCCUUCUUCCUGAUCUUUUCCUCCCCAAAGUACAGUGUCAGCAUCCAUCAACGCCAGAGAGGAGACUCCCACAGACUUCAGUGGUUUCUGAAGCCUUUCAGACCCUCUGACCUCUCUCCCCUAGAGAGAGGGGACACAAAUCAUCUGUUCGGUGUGUCCAAGCACGGGGAGAGCAGUAAAUGGGUGAACAAAAUGAAGGCCAGGAGACAGAUGUUAUCUAGGCCCUUCUCUCUGAUCCAUUUCAGACUUUUUUUUCCCAGGGCUAUAAAGGUGAGGACUGUGCUAUACCAGGGUGGAUUUGGGGAGGUUUCAGGAGACCACAGAAGAGAUGUGUCAGAAGGCUGAGCCUGCUCUUUUUAAUCCAUUUGAUGGAGAGGAGGGACUACUCUGGCUGCAAUUUCUGCUGUAACAUCAACUUCAAAAAACAGGACACAUCCAGGCUUCAAAAGCAUGGAGUUACUGCAAGCACUGACACGGAGCUUGGGGGCUUUGGCAAACAUUAAAAUUAGCCCCGAGGCAUGCCACCUGGGCAGCCAGCUACUGGUGGGCCUCAAAAGCAAACGUGCUGGAAAGCGUGUCACCUGGCCGUGCUCUCCAGACACCGUGUUCAGGGCAUCGUAACCCACCAGCCUGCACGUCAGCAGGGUUCCUCAUACAAGGAAUGAGUGCUUGGGAGGCCAGAAUGCCCCAUGGAGCAGAAGGAUUUUAGCUCAGAGCGUUAAACAUCCCUAAUCCUGCUGGUAUCUGCCUCACUUUGGGAUUUCUGUAGCAACCUGGGCUUUUCUGCACACCCUUUUUUUUUUUUUUUCUUGCAUUCUUUCAUUGUUUCUCAGUUCUAGGAGGAUCUCAAACUAAUGUCCUCUCACCCCAUCCCCAAAUGUCGAGGGGAUGUUUGAAAAUCAGAGGCAGAAAGACAUUUCCCUCUGCAAAUGAACCAGGCGUGUGAAAAAGGAGUGCCCCUCCUUCUCAGAACGCGGAGGGCUGAGGAGGACAGGACACACAAGCCUACAGUGAAAGCCUCAGGAAGGAGAUUUCAGGAAUAAAUGUGGUUUUGUUCCUUGAAAAUAA